rnacentral:rRNA from 1 species
CCCUUAGAUGUUCGGGGCCGCACGCGCGCUACACUGAAGGAAUCAGCACGUCUUUCUCCUUGUCCGAAAGGACUGGGUAACCCGCUGAACCUCCUUCGUGCUAGGGAUUGGGGCUUGUAAUUCUUCCCCAUGAACGAGGAAUUCCCAGUAAGCGCGAGUCAUAAGCUCGCGUUGAUUACAUCCCUGCCCUUUGUACACACCGCCCGUCGCUACUACCGAUUGGAUGGUUUAGUGAGAUCCUCGGAUUGGUCCCGGAGCGGCCUCUGGUCGUGCCGGAGUGCCGAAAAGAAUGUCGAACUUGAUCAUCUAGAGGAAGUAAAAGUCGUAACA